AGUGAACGCUGGCGGUAGGCCUAACACAUGCAAGUCGAACGGCAGCACAGUAAGAGCUUGCUCUUACGGGUGGCGAGUGGCGGACGGGAGAGGAAUACAUCGGAAUCUACUUUUUCGUGGGGGGUAACGUAGGGAAACCUACGCUAAUACCGCAUACGACCUACGGGUGAAAGCAGGGGAUCUUCGGACCUUGCGCGAUUGAAUGAGCCGAUGUCGGAUUAGCUAGUUGGCGGGGUAAAGGCCCACCAAGGCGACGAUCCGUAGCUGGUCUGAGAGGAUGAUCGGCCGCACUGGAACUGAGACACGGUCCAGACUCCUACGGGAGGCAGCAGUGGGGAAUAUUGGACAAUGGGCGCAAGCCUGAUCCAGCCAUACCGCGUGGGUGAAGAAGGCCUUCGGGUUGUAAAGCCCUUUUGUUGGGAAAGAAAAGCAGCAGGUUAAUACCCCGCUGUUCUGACGGUACCCAAAGAAUAAGCACCGGCUAACUUCGUG
rnacentral:rRNA from 1 species